rnacentral:rRNA from 1 species
AACGAACGCUGGCGGCAUGCCUAACACAUGCCAGUCGAACGAGACCUUCGGGUCUAGUGGCGCACGGGUGCGUAACGCGUGGGAACCUGCCCUUAGGUUCGGAAUAACUCCCCGAAAGGGGUGCUAAUACCGGAUAAUGUCUUCGGACCAAAGAUUUAUCGCCUUUGGAUGGGCCCGCGUUGGAUUAGCUAGUUGGUAGGGUAAAAGCCUACCAAGGCGACGAUCCAUAGCUGGUCUGAGAGGAUGAUCAGCCACACUGGGACUGAGACACGGCCCAGACUCCUACGGGAGGCAGGAGUGGGGAAUAUUGGACAAUGGGCGAAAGCCUGAUCCAGCAAUGCCGCGUGAGUGAUGAAGGCCUUAGGGUUGUAAAGCUCUUUUACCCGGGAUGAUAAUGACAGUACCGGGAGAAUAAGCUCCGGCUAACUCCGUG